GCUCGUAGUUGGAUCUGUGUGGCGGACGGCCGGUUCGCCGCUCGCGCGGCGUUCAACUGGCCGUACCGGGACGUCCUGCCGGUGGCCGUCGAGGCAACGCGCGGUGUCCCGGCGCCCCUUCGUCGUUUCCUUCGGGCGGCGGCGGGGUCGGCGUCGGGCCCGCGCGCUCGCGGCCGUCAAACAUCCCUCCGGGCUGCCCUUCGCCGGGUGGCCCGGCGGGCCGGCACGUUUACUUUGAACAAAUUUGAGUGCUCAAAGCAGGCCUGACCAGCCUGGAAACUGUGUGCAUGGAAUAAUGGAAUAGGACCUCUUUUCUAUUUUGUUGGCUUAUUUUUUCUGAAACGGAGGUAAUGAUUAAUAGGGACAGACGGGGGCAUUCGUAUUGCGACGUUAGAGGUGAAAUUCUUGGAUCGUCGCAAGACGGACGGGUGCGAAAGCGUUUGCCAAGAAUGUUUUCGCUAAUCAAGAACGAAAGUUAGAGGUUCGAAGGCGAUCAGAUACCGCCCUAGUUCUAACCAUAAACGAUGCCAGCCAGCGAUUCGCCGRAGUUCCUCCGAUGACUCGGCGSGCARCUACCGGGAAACCAAAGCUUUUGGGUUCCGGGGGAAGUAUGGUUGCAAAGCUGAAACUUAAAGGAAUUGACGGAAGGGCACCACCAGGAGUGGAGCCUGCGGCUUAAUUUGACUCAACACGGGAAACCUCACCAGGCCCGGACAUCGGWAGGAUUGACAGAUUGAGAGCUCUUUCUUGAUUCGAUGGGUGGUGGUGCAUGGCCGUUCUUAGUUGGUGGAGCGAUUUGUCUGGUUAAUUCCGAUAACGAACGAGGCUCUAACCUGCUAACUAGACGCCGGGACCUCAGCGUUGCCGGCGCGAAAAAUCUCUUCUUAGAGGGACAGGCGGCUUCUAGCCGCACGAGAUUGAGCGAUAACAGGUCUGUGAUGCCCUUAGAUGUUCUGGGCCGCACGCGCGCUACACUGGAGAGAUCAACGUGUGUUCGUCCUGGGCCGAAGGGCCCGGGCAACCCGCUGAACCCUCUCCGUGCUUGGGAUCGGGGCUUGCAAUCGCGCCCCGUGAACGAGGAAUUCCCAGUAAGCGUGAGUCAUAAGCUUGCGUUGAUUACGUCCCUGCCCUUUGUACACACCGCCCGUCGCUACUACCGAUUGAACGAUUUAGUGAGGUCUUCGGACUGCGGCGCGCGCUCGGCGUUAGCCUCGCGUGCCGCCGCGGAAAGAUGACCAAACUUGAUCGCUUAGAGGAAGUAAAAGUCGUAACAAGGUUUCCGUAGGUGAACC
rnacentral:rRNA from 1 species